rnacentral:rRNA from 1 species
GAUCCUGGCUUAGGAUGAACGCUAGCUACAGGCUUAACACAUGCAAGUCGAGGGGCAGCAUUGGGGUAGCAAUACUCAGAUGGCGACCGGCGCACGGGUGAGUAACACGUAUCCAACCUGCCGCUUACUCGGGGAUAGCCUUUCGAAAGAAAGAUUAAUACCCGAUGGUAUAAAGAGUUCGCAUGUUCUCUUUAUUAAAGAAUUUCGGUAAGCGAUGGGGAUGCGUUCCAUUAGAUAGUUGGCGGGGUAACGGCCCACCAAGUCUACGAUGGAUAGGGGUUCUGAGAGGAAGGUCCCCCACAUUGGAACUGAGACACGGUCCAAACUCCUACGGGAGGCAGCAGUGAGGAAUAUUGGUCAAUGGACGAGAGUCUGAACCAGCCAAAGUAGCGUGAAGGAUGACUGCCCUAUGGGUUGUAAACUUCUUUUAUAAGGGAAUAAAGUGAGGGACGUGUCCCUUUUUGUAUGUACCUUAUGAAUAAGGAUCGGCUAACUCCGUGCCAGCCGCCGC